rnacentral:lncRNA from 1 species
CGGGAGCCGGGAGCGGCUGUCAGGGCGCGGCAGAGUCUGUGUGUGUGUUUGUGGGGCGGGCAGCCAUGCGGCGCUGGAGGCUCCUUCUCUUCCCCGUGCUUCUCGGCGUGCUGGUCCCCGUCAGAGGCAAUUUUGAUGACUUCAGCUUAGAAGAUGCACUUGGAGAGAUAAAGACGACAAAGAAGCCUCUUCCAUCUCAGAAGACACCACCACAGGACUUUGGUGGGAUAUAAUUGGCUUGUAAUGUCUUUUAUUGUAAAGUCAGGUGUAGUGUACAUAAUAAUUUGAGAGGCAUGAACUUUUCAACAUAGUGGCAU